UCCGAUUCAUAUAAACCGGUAGCAUAGCUCGCAUACAGAAAUCAGUGGUGGUAAUUCAGUCACUUUUAACUGUAAUGCAGUUGAUUGAUGACAUGAACAUGUAUUGGGGUUGACAUCCAUACAAGGAUUAUAAUCUGAUGUUUACCUCAACAUAGUGUGAAAUAAACAAUAGCCUGAAUGUAGCCUAAUUUUGCUGGGGGUUAUCGGUGAGAUGCAGGUGGAAAACCGGUGCAGUAUUUUUACUUCGUGAUAUAAUUGGCUGAGCUCCUACUCCAACAUCUCAGAAGAGUGGAAUGGCCUCAGGGAAACGAGUGGCAGCGCACAUGAUGGUUAAGAGUAACUUGUUAAGAAACUUUGAGCAAAGGACCAUCACAGUCCACCAGAACCCUGCUGAAAGAAACAUGUAUGGAGUCAGCAGAUGGAGACUUGCAAGAUGAUGUGAAGUCCAGUCUGACAGACGGUCUUGAUGCUGAUGUCUUUACAUGGAGAGAGACCUGUCACUUUGCAUAACAUAAUGUACUAAACUUUUACUUGUAUUGUCUUUUUUUAAAUUAUUGAAUUGAAUCAGUCAUUAUGGGGAGGGAGAAACCCUAUAUAUUCUGCAAAACGAUCAAGGAACUAAUUUUGUAUACAGGACAUCAGGUAUACAGGUAUGACCACUGUGACAUGUUUGCCAAGGUAGACUCAUUUCCAUCAGACAAAAUUAUGAAUAGGCACAGUAUCUGUAUCGGCUGGGAAGGACAAUAAAAGGUGCACAUUGUUAUAUUAGUAGAACACUGCUUCUAUGGUAAUUAUGUAAAGGCUUGUUUAUUCUACAUUGACCUGUUACUACAUUUGAAAGUUAUCAAAACACUUUGUUUAGAAUAACUACAUCAAUUCAGAAAAUGCAUUCUUCUCAAAUUACUCUGUAGGCUACUGACCUAUUUAAAGCUUCCUCCGGCAUCUCAUCAUACAUAAUAACCAUGCUGUAGUUAUUGAACUCAACAUGCAUGAGGUUUGUUUGUUGAUUGAGUGGUGUGAAACAGCUGCAGGGAAGGUUCUGACAGAUGGGUGUGUCUUGAUGGUGGCAAGGACACACCCAAGAAACACCCACAUCAAAGUUUAGCUUCUGUCAUGGCCACCAGGAUUUCUUGAGGAGCAACCCAAAAAACAAGGCCAAAUUAGCCACUCCAUUUCCCCUUUAAAUAUAACCUGCCCUAUACAAUAGCUUUCAACAAACCUGAUUGGUGUAAACUUUAAGAAAUGGUGGUAUAAAUAAUAAAUUUUUAAAUUAAAAGUAUGUCAAAUUAUCCAUUUAUUUUUUCAUAGGUGGUUACAAUCCUGUGAAAAACAGUUGUACUGCACUAGAGUGCUAAAAGAAAAUCGAUAUUCCCAAAGUUUUGCAUUAAUUUGCAGGGUGGCCUCUUGCACACAUUGUAUAUAGACUGCCCAUUUUUUCUACUGUGUUAUUGACUUGUUAAUUGUUUAUUCCAUGUGUAACUCUGUGUUGUCUGUUCACACUGCUAUGCUUUAUCUUG